UACAGAGGUCUCGAGCGUUAGGCGGAAUCACUGGCUUAAAGCGUGUGUAGGUGGAUGCCUAAGUACCUUGUGAAAUCCCACAGCUUAACUGUGGAACUGCUUGGUAUACUGGGUGUCUUGAGUCACUCAGGGCGAGCGGAACAAAUGGUGGAGCGGUGAAAUGCGUAGAUAUCAUUUGGAACGCCAAUGGUGAAAACAGCUCGCUGGGUGCACUGACACUGAGACACGAAAGCCAGGGAGCGAACGG
rnacentral:rRNA from 1 species